AGAGUUUCAUUCAAGGGCAGGAUAAACGCUGGCGGCGUGCUUAACACCUGCAAGUCGAACGAAGUUUUUCUUUCGGGAGGAACUUAGUGGCGGACGGGUGAGUAACGCGUGGGUAACCUGCCCUGUACAGGGGGACAACAGCUGGAAACGGCUGCUAAUACCGCAUAAGCCCUUAGCACUGCAUGGUGCAUAGGGAAAAGGAGCAGUCCGGUACAGGAUGGACCCGCGUCUGAUUAGCCAGUUGGCAGGGUAACGGCCUACCAAAGCGACGAUCAGUAGCCGAUCUGAGAGGAUGUACGGCCACAUUGGGACUGAGACACGGCCCAGACUCCUACGGGAGGCAGCAGUGGGGAAUAUUGCACAAUGGAGGAAACUCUGAUGCAGCGACGCCGCGUGAGUGAAGAAGUAUUUCGGUAUGUAAAGCUCUAUCAGCAGGGAAGAAAAUGACGGUACCUGACUAAGAAGCACCGGCUAAAUACGUGCCAGCAGCCGCGGUAAUACGUAUGGUGCAAGCGUUAUCCGGAUUUACUGGGUGUAAAGGGAGCGUAGGUGGCAAGGCAAGCCAGAAGUGAAAACCCGGGGCUCAACCGCGGGAUUGCUUUUGGAACUGUCAUGCUAGAGUGCAGGAGGGGUGGGCGGAAUUCCUAGUGUAGCGGUGAAAUGCGUAGAUAUUAGGAGGAACACCGGAGGCGAAGGCGGCUCACUGGACUGUAACUGACACUGAGGCUCGAAAGCGUGGGGAGCAAACAGGAUUAGAUACCCUGGUAGUCCACGCGGUAAACGAUGAAUACUAGAUGUCGGGUAGCAUAGCUAUUCGGUGUCGUCGCAAACGCAAUAAGUAUUCCACCUGGGGAGUACGUUCGCAAGAAUGAAACUCAAAGGAAUUGACGGGGACCCGCACAAGCGGUGGAGCAUGUGGUUUAAUUCGAAGCAACGCGAAGAACCUUACCUGCUCUUGACAUCCCAUUCGAUAGAGGGUAAUGCCUCUAGCCCUUCGGGGGAAUGGAGACAGGUGGUGCAUGGUUGUCGUCAGCUCGUGUCGUGAGAUGUUGGGUUAAGUCCCGCAACGAGCGCAACCCUUAUUGUCAGUAGCCAGCAGGUGAAGCUGGGCACUCUGAUGAGACUGCCGGGGAUAACCCGGAGGAAGGUGGGGAUGACGUCAAAUCAUCAUGCCCCUUAUGAGCAGGGCUACACACGUGCUACAAUGGCGUAAACAGAGGGAAGCGAAGGAGUGAUCUGGAGCAAAUCUCAAAAAUAACGUCUCAGUUCGGAUUGUAGUCUGCAACUCGACUACAUGAAGCUGGAAUCGCUAGUAAUCGCAGAUCAGAAUGCUGCGGUGAAUACGUUCCCGGGUCUUGUACACACCGCCCGUCACACCAUGGGAGUCGGUAAUGCCCGAAGUCAGUGACUCAACCAUAAAGGAGAGAGCUGCCGAAGGCAGGACUGGUAACUGGGGUGAAGAGGUACAUGGUAUCUUAGGGCGGAUUCGUUUAAUCUGCAGGAUAGUCCUUUUGGGAGGGUAAUCUGAGACUGCGUAUCUGGGAUAGUGUCU
rnacentral:rRNA from 1 species